UUUUUUUUUUUUUUAAUUGAAAGGUGGAUGUUGUGUGUGACAGGUGGUGGAGGGUCUGGUUGAUGGCCUCUUCUCCCACAGAGAACUUCACUUCCUUCUCCAGACAGAGUCCCUUCCAGGGUCCCAAUGGUAAGCCAGAUCAGAGCAGGCUGAAGAGUGAGCCCAAUGGCAGCGAAGACAGCCUUUGUAAGAAGUGUGCCCGGAAGGGAAGAGAGCGCCAGGAAGGUGAUGUGGGGGCUCAGGAGUGCAGGGUGGUGAGAGACACCAGCACGCAUAUGUGGACAUAUGUGGGCGGAUGGGAAGGAGGCUCCACCAUGGGAUGUGUGGGCAGCCCCGGGAGAACCGGGGUGGGGAGCUGGGGCAAGAGUGCAGGGCCCCGAGCCUGGGGAGGCGGGCUUUGGCCAGGAUGGGGUACCAACCGCCUCAUAGGGUGAGGGGAGGAAACGCUAGCUCGGGCCUGCCAGGUGUAUGGGACUUGGGCUGGGUCGCCGCCUGCAUCUGUGUGCGUCUCCAUGCGGCUCUUUCCCGGACUGGCUGAGCCACUCCAGUCCCUCACCCAGGCCCCCUUUCCAGCCUGAUGGAAAGAGGAGCCCAGAGAGGAGCCCAACCACUUUCCCUCUGGAAUCUGCUGCCUCGGCUUUCGGAUGGAGAAACCAUCUGGAGUGUAUUACGGGCGGUGGAGACAGCCGAGAGCAGGAAAAUAUGAAACGGAGGUCCAGAGAGGGAUAGUAACUUCCCCCAGGAUCACACAGCAAGUCAGGAGGAACAAGAUCGGAGGGGUGAGGGCCCUCUAGGCUCUUCCUUGGUGGGGGGGGGGGAGGGGGGAGGGCAGGAGCCCCUCCCCUGCACAGCCCCAGCUCCAGACGUGGCAGGGCCAGCAGGAGUGAGGUUUCUCUGCUCCCUCCCAAGUGCCGUGCUGGCGGCUCCCGAAAUAAAAAUCAAAUGUGGGCUUGGCAGAGCGAGCGGGGUGGGAGAGCAGCCGGCAGCGAGUGGCGGCAACGCUGGGUUUCAUUCUUUCCAUUGUAACUUCACCUCCUAACCUCUGGCAUUUUAAUUAUUCUCCUACCCGCUUGCUGCUGCUGCUGCUGCUGGGGCCAGAGGGUGAGCUCACCCUUUCCUCCGGCCAGGGAGGGGGCGGCCGCUGCCGGGACCCCCAGCCUCCAGCCUGCUCCCGGGAAGCUGGGGGGUGGUGGGAGGGGGCGGCGCCGGGCAGGGGUCACAGGCCUAGAGGCUUCCUUCUGCCUCUGCCAUCCCCGGCGGGGGGGGGGGGGGGGGUGCCCAGAAAGGGCCAGGCUCCCAGACAUCCAGCCUGGCACCUAAGGUUCCAUGUGUGAAUCAUUAGGUCCUCACAUCCACGGCUCCAUUUAACGGUGGCCACUGUCUUCGGCCAACGCGUUACAGGCCCACUGCCCGCUUUGUGUGCCGCAGCCAUGCUCAGUGUGUGCAGAGCGGGGCCUAGGACCCGGGGCCCCGGGGCUCCCGGUCUGCGCUCUUGCCAGACCCGGGAAGAGGGCUAGAACAGCUCAGGCCUGAUCAUUUGCCUCAUCGCCCCAGAGUGUCCAUUCCCCCCACCUCCCCCGAUGGUAAGUGAUUUAAAGCAUUUUUUUUCGUAUUAAAACACGCAAGGGCAUAGUAGGGGGUAGGAAGCAAAGUGGCCUGUGAACAUUUUUUACAAGUUCCCAGGAGAGAUCGCCACUUGGGGCUGCCCCCGGAUGCCAGGGAACAGCAUCCUCCCCCACCCCCCCGGGCCUGGCCGUGAAGUGGGAUGACACAUUGGGCUUAUCUGUGUGUGGCUCGUUUAGUUGGGGCCCCGGACUGCUGCUGAAGAUGCUGGUGGGUGACGGUGGGCAGCCUGGGCCCAUCCCGGGCUGCAGAGGCCCGGAGCUGGAGCCCUCUGUCGAUUCUUGUGCCUCCUGGGAGGUCGGUUUCCACGGGACACGUAGCACAGGCCCAGGGAAGCCUCCACUUGGAGCCCCAGGGCCCACCGAGGCCUCCUGCUUGGCCGCCAGCUCCUGGAAACUCCCCCCCCCCCCCACCGCCUCCCUGCCUAGCCCUGGGAGGAAGCCCUCUGUCUUCCUCUUCCUUGCCCUGUCAGUCUCCCCUGAAUGCAUGUUCCAUCAACGAGCAGCUCCUGGACACCUACCCUGCCCGUGCCGCGCCUCGUCGUGGGCAGUUAGGGUCUCUGCCCCAGUAGAGUUUCCAGAAGCAAGGAGCAAAGUGCAGUGCCCUCGGUGCAAACGUGAGCGUCGUGGUGGGGGCGCGCAAGGCUGCGGCAGCCCUGGGAAGCAAAUUCCUGACCCAAGCUUGCUGAGCGGAGCAUCAGGAAACGCGUCCCAGAUUGAGUGCUAACUGGGAGGAGCCCCCCGGGGAAGAGCGUGGCUGGCCUCGGGAGCAUCCCUGCGAAGGCCCAGUGAUGAGAGACAACCCAGUACGGAAGCUGCAG